rnacentral:rRNA from 1 species
AUGAGUGAGACGUUUACGAGCUCGGCUCAGCAACAAUCAGACCCUCCUUGUCUGCCUCUUGCAAGGUUAGCAAUAAUUCACAAGGUUAUUCUAACUCGUCUCCAAAUCGAAAUUUUUACAAAUCUGCACAAUCAAGCAAAAAUUGGGUAUAUAGUGCGGAUCUGGGAGCAAGCACCUGGUACUUGGGGACUUUCAGACGGGGGAUCUGGUGGUGCCGCCAAUUUCCAGCGAUGUCAGCUGAGAGGAGGCGGGCCCGGAGCAGCAGCCGGCGACGGGAUGACGGGGAGCACCUCGAGAGCAUGGCCGACCAGUUCCAUGGCUCCCUCAGUAGGGAGUUGGCCGGCUGAAGAGCGGUGGAGGCAUAGGAGGAGGGGGGAGAGGAGUUGGGGGAUGGUGUGGCGCCGGCGUCGUGUGUCUCCGGUGAUGGAAAGCCGCAGGGGUGGCGGCGCGCGGCGGCGUGGCGGGGGUCGGCUGCGGCGGUGCACGGCGGCGUGUCGGGGGCCGGCGGUGCGCAGCAGCGUGGCAGGGGGCUGA